rnacentral:rRNA from 1 species
AUACAGAGGGUGCGAGCGUUAAUCGGAAUUACUGGGCGUAAAGCGCACGUAGUCGGCUUUGCAAGUCGGGUGUGAAAUCCCCGGGCUCAACCUGGGAACUGCAUCCGAGACUGCAUUGCUAGAGUAUGGGAGAGGGAAGCGGAAUUUCUGGUGUAGCAGUGAAAUGCGUAGAUAUCAGAAGGAACAUCAGUGGCGAAGGCGGCUUCCUGGACCAAUACUGACGAUCAGGUGCGAAAGCGUGGGGAGCAAACAGGAUUAGAUACCCUGGUAGUCCACGCCCUAAACGAUGACAACUGGAUGUCGGGAGGGUUUGCCUUCCGGUGUCGUAGCUAACGCGUUAAGUUGUCCGCCUGGGAAGUACGGCCGCAAGGUUGAA